GAUUUCAGUAGUUUAAAUUUCUGAAUAAACCUAAAACUGAAGAAGUCCUAAAGCUUCUGUAGCCAAUCAAAAUUUUUGGAGACCCCCGAGUAGGUUUAAACAGCCUCAAAAGGCAUUCAGAUGCCAUUUCCUAGUUCCAAAGAGUCAUUAUGAACUUCAGUGAAUAGUGUUAUAUUUGACAAAAAACAGCACAGUUUAAGAAUAUAUAAUUAUGUCCAGAGGGUCACUAAAUGAUCACUCUCUUUUUAAGUAAAGACAUGUCCAUUAUAGCUCUUUUGAUUUUAAAACCAAGGCAAUCAGAUCCUGUGACUGCCAUUUUUUGCCUACAGUUCCGUCAGACAAUUUCCGAGGCCUGUAUGAGCAGCAAGUUGAUUUUCCCCCUGGUCACGUGAUCAAUCAAGACCAUGGAUUUUACAGCCAGCAGCACAUGGUUUGUUUCCCUCAUUGCUGCCAUGUAGAAAACUAAAGGAAUGAGUCUCUUGUUGCUGUUGUCUUUAGGAUGGAGUACUAUAGUUGCCUUUAUCCAUCAUGGCGGCGCCUGUUAGCGAGCAUCUACUCACCUGCUGCCUGCCACAUCCUUCACCUUGUUGUGCCCCUGCCGCAUCACCAGCCAUCCCAUUAAAGUAAAUGGGACUGUCAGUGAGUCAACAGCGGGUCAGAGGAGGAGCCGCUGUGGGACAGAGGUGACAGUUAC